GAUAAACGCUGGCGGCGUGCCUAAUACAUGCAAGUCGAACGAGGAGUUCUUGUGGCAAUACGGGGACUUCCUAGUGGCGAAUGGGUGAGUAACGCGUUGGUGACCUACCCCAAAGAGAGGAAUAACUCCGGGAAACUGGCGCUAAUACCCCAUGUGGUUACCAGGGUUAGAGGCCUGGCAACUGAAGGAGCAAUCCGCUUUGGGAGGGACCUGCGUCCCAUCAGCUUGUUGGUAGGGUAACGGCCUACCAAGGCUACGACGGGUAGGGGGCCUGAGAGGGUGGCCCCCCACACUGGCACUGAAACACGGGCCAGACACCUACGGGUGGCAGCAGUAGGGAAUAUUGCACAAUGGGCGCAAGCCUGAUGCAGCAACGCCGCGUGCGGGAUGACGGCCUUCGGGUUGUAAACCGCUUUUAGUAAGGAAGAAGGGGCUUCGGCCUUGACGGUACUUGCAGAAAAAGGACCGGCUAACUACGUGCCAGCCGCCGCAGUAAUAC
rnacentral:rRNA from 1 species